AGAGUUUGAUCCUGGCUCAGGACGAACGCUGGCGGCGUGCCUAAUACAUGCAAGUCGAGCGGAGUUUCCGCGGCGGAAGCCUUCGGGCGGAAGACGCGGAGACUUAGCGGCGGACGGGUGAGUAACACGUGGGCAACCUGCCCGGAAGACCGGGAUAACAUCCGGAAACGGAUGCUAAUACCGGAUAGGCGGACUCCUCGCAUGAGGGGAUCGGGAAAGGCGGGGCAACCUGCCGCUUCCGGAUGGGCCUGCGGCGCAUUAGCUAGUAGGUAGGGUAACGGCCUACCUAGGCGACGAUGCGUAGCCGACCUGAGAGGGUGAACGGCCACACUGGGACAGAGACACGGCCCAGACUCCUACGGGAGGCAGCAGUAGGGAAUCUUCCGCAAUGGGCGAAAGCCUGACGGAGCAACGCCGCGUGAGUGAGGAAGGUCUUCGGAUCGUAAAGCUCUGUUGCCAGGGAAGA
rnacentral:rRNA from 1 species